UUUUAUGGAGAGUUUGAUCCUGGCUCAGGAUGAACGCUGGCGGCGUGCCUAAUACAUGCAAGUCGAGCGAACGGACGAGAAGCUUGCUUCUCUGAUGUUAGCGGCGGACGGGUGAGUAACACGUGGAUAACCUACCUAUAAGACUGGGAUAACUUCGGGAAACCGGAGCUAAUACCGGAUAAUAUUUUGAACCGCAUGGUUCAAAAGUGAAAGACGGUCUUGCUGUCACUUAUAGAUGGAUCCGCGCUGCAUUAGCUAGUUGGUAAGGUAACGGCUUACCAAGGCAACGAUGCAUAGCCGAC
rnacentral:rRNA from 1 species